AAAUCUAUUCAAACUAUGAGUGCAAUGGUUGUGGAGCAGAUGAAAACUCCACAGUUAAGCAUGAUCAGGUGUGAGUAGUACUAGCAUGGGUGACCUCCAGGGAAGUCUCUAACUGGGCAAC
rnacentral:rRNA from 2 species